UCGGGGACUCUGACUCGCGGGCAUGCGUGCCUUCGACGGGCACAGUUUAUGCAGGCGUGCAUUCAUUUACAAUUCAAGUCGGCUUCGAGACUGGCGUAUCUGCCACACUUCCUGUGCAUUUCCUGCACGAAGCCGUCAAACCCGCCUUCCCGCGCCGGCUGGGAGAUCUCUGCUUUCGCCCGCACCAGUUGAAAUCCGGAUUUCCCAAGACAGUGCUGGGCUCCUGGCUGAUCAACAAAACAUCGGGAAGCAGGAGAUCAGAGCCUAUCCAACGAAACUAGGCAGCACCCUGGGAAAAACUCCAACAAUGCCAGAGAAGGAAGGCAAAAGAGGACAGUUCUGAUCUACAGGGCUGGAGAGGAAGGGCAUCGCAGAUAAGGCAUCCUGGCCCAUGCGGCAGAGACAGCAUCGCCGGUACAGCCACUUUCUGGAGCUCAGGAUACAGGAUGCAGGGAGAGCAUCCUUUUCCUUCGUGGGUGGUCUUGGAGGAUACUUCUCGAGAGAUACGGACCUCAGUCAUCCUCCUACCUGAAAGCUCCUGGGCAUUCCAGGUUUCAGUGUGAAAGUUUUAAAGAUUAAAAAGCCCAGAGGGGAUUACUGUGAAGUGCGGUAAUCAAGACGACCUAGCACUGGCAUAAGGAUGGGUGUGAAGAUCAGUGAACUAGAACCAAGAGUCCAGAAAUGAGCGCAGACAAUUGACUUUUGACAGGGUGCCAAGUCAAUGAAAUGGGGGAAAGCAUAGUCUUUUUCACCAGUAAUGCUGGCACAAUGAGAGAAGAAUGAAGUUG